rnacentral:pre_miRNA from 1 species
UCUUAUGGAUGAACAAAGAAAGUGGUUUCUUGAGAUGGAAUCUCCCCCUGGUGAAGAUGUGGUAAGAU